UACGUAGGGGGCAAGCGUUGUCCGGAUUUAUUGGGCGUAAAGAGCGUGUAGGCGGCCAGGUAGGUCCGUUGUGAAAACUCGAGGCUCAACCUCGAGACGCCGAUGGAAACCCCCUGGCUAGAGUCCGGAAGAGGAGAGUGGAAUUCCUGGUGUAGCGGUGAAAUGCGUAGAUAUCGGGAGGAACACCUGUGGCGAAGGCGGCCACCUGGGCCGACCCUGACGCUGAGGCGCGAAGGCGUGGGGAGCGAACGGG
rnacentral:rRNA from 1 species